UGGGGAAUAUUGGACAAUGGGGGCAACCCUGAUCCAGCAAUGCCGCGUGUGUGAAGAAGGUCUUCGGAUUGUAAAGCACUUUCGACGGGGACGAUGAUGACGGUACCCGUAGAAGAAGCCCCGGCUAACUUCGUGCCAGCAGCCGCGGUAAUACGAAGGGGGCUAGCGUUGCUCGGAAUGACUGGGCGUAAAGGGCGUGUAGGCGGUUUACACAGUCAGAUGUGAAAUCCCCGGGCUUAACCUGGGAGCU
rnacentral:rRNA from 1 species